GCCCAGGUGGCGGAAUUGGUAGACGCACUACCUUGAGGUGGUAGCGGCGAAAGUCGUGGGGGUUCGAGUCCCCCCUUGGGCACCA
rnacentral:tRNA from 1 species